UGUAAUGCACCUUAUAAUGCAUUUUAUGGUCUCUUGAAUAAUUGUUAUAAUAGCCUACAUUAUAACCUUUAGAAAGUAUAAUGCAUUACAAGAACCAAUUUGAGAUGUAACAAAGAUUAUGUGAAUAUUAAUGCAUUUUAACUUUAGUUACAAUUAUUCAUGAAAAGAUAUAAUGCAUUAUAAUGUACAUUAUGAAUACCUUUUAGAAUGAAAUGUACAUAUAUGUAUGUAUGUGCAUACAGACAUAAUAUAUAUAACAUGCAAAUAUUGCUUUUUCUGUCUUGCAGGUCAACAUGCACAAAAAUGUCAUGUUUUUCCCUGGAAAAGUCAAGGUUGUGUUCCAUAAGGGACCUCUCUGGCAUGCUACCUGUACCUUCUUUCUACUUAUUUCAUGGUGCCCAUUCAGAGUUUCAGUCAGAGCAAGAAAUCACUGAUACACUUCCUGAGCUCUCGCUGUCCUCAUCUCAUGAUGCCCACGUGGAGCCUCAGUCAGAGCCAGGAACUACAUAAACACCACAUCUGCCCAUGCUGGCCUCACCUGUGAGCAGCCGUACUGGACCUGUGAAGAUUGGUGGCAGGGUGUUUGUGCUGGACCACAAACACUGGAUAUCUACAAUGAAGGAGGCCAUUGACAACUUUCUUAAUAAACACCAUGGGAAGAAGGACAUGCUUAAAGGGUUAGUUCACACAAAAAUUAAAUUUCUGUCAUUAAUUAUUCACCCUCAUAUCGUUCCAAACCUGUAAGACCUUCAUUCAUCUUCAGAACACAAAUUAAU